UUAUUUCAGCUCUAGUCUGAGAGAUGGCAAGGAAUGGAAUAGACUACAAAAUAUAUUUUUCAUGUUUUGAAUGCACCCAACGUGAUGACUAAUGCAACCUAAAAGGUAAGUAAAACCAUACUGAGAUUUCACUUGCAUCAAAUAAAGAUUUGACUUAUUUCACCCGACCAAGAGGAGCACAGUGCAACCCCAUCUGAGAUGACCUGGGCUGUUUAUUUUAUUCCUACAAGUUACAUAGGUUUCAGACUGGUUUUGCCAUACUUAGUCAGGCCAUGUAGGUGCUGGAAGGCUUUGCAUGGGGAAGAAAUUUUUUGACAAGCAUAAAAAAUGAGAAAAGAAACCAGAAAUCCCUGUGAUAAAUACAAACUGACAGCAUCCCUCAGAUGGCAGGUUUGAAUUAACCUUUAGUCCCUUAUAAAUAUGCAGCAGUUUUGAUAUGCUUUUCUGAAACAGAAUGUUUACGGAUCUUAGUUCAUCCAUCAUCAGAGUAAGAAGGUAAAGAAUAACUUGCAUGACAGCUAUAAUUCAAAAGUAUACAUCCUAGUCCUUGAACCAGUUUAGUAUUUGUAGCAUUGGUUUCCACUGUAGUAAACUAACAGUCAACUGGCUAUGAAGCACAUUUGCAAGUGAUACGGAGAAGUUGCUGAGUGGAAAGCUGAAGUAUGUACCAAGUAAAUUAUUUCAUUGCAAACUGUUUUAUUUACUCACACAUCCUUAUUACUGUCAGUAUUUUUUGUUACAUCCUGAGGUCUUAAAAUUCUGCACUUUCUUUCUGUGCUGCCUUCUGUUGAAAAGGGAAGAGAUUUUUUGACAGCUGUAGCUGUAAUAUGUCAAGAAGCCUGAAAUUUCAGAAGAUACUUCAAAACUUCAGAGGAUGUGAAACCAUUUUACUCCCUUUCCAUAUGUUUGUAAGUAAUCCACCAAACCUGUACAAACUGCUUUAACCGAAAUACUCCCAGCUCAGCAAAUCCAUACAAAUCUAAAGGAGUCCAAGACAAUCUGCUCUGAAUUCCAUUUAAAUUCCCCAGAUUUCAUGGCCAUAGUGCAGUUUACCAAAUCCAUCUUUGUGGCAUGAUAGUCUGCAUGGUGCAGCACAUGGUCUCUGGCCCUAAUAUGAUUUAUCUUGUAAGAUUCAAGUCUGUGACUGGGGCAGGUGCAGUAGCUGGCAUGGCUCAUGAGCAGAGAAUGUGCCAAAUUAUCUUGGCCAAGACAAGUUGGCUGGGCUAAAGUAAAAAAGUAGAGGAGGAAUGAUGCUUUGAUUCAUUUAUUAACAAGAACAUAUGAGCCUAAACUAGUCUAUCUAGCAAACAGAGAAAUAAAAGCAGCUGCAGAGUUUGAUCUGCAUCUCAGACACCUUUGUUAGAAGAAGUGCUUGUGCUCUCUUUUGACUGUACCGGAAGCCAACUGUAUGCCAGACUGCAACAUCUACCUCAUGACAGAUAAUCUCAGGUAAGCUUAACUUUACUUCUUCUUACUCUGUUUGGUGUCUAGAAGCAUCGGAUCUGAAGGAAGCUGAGCUCCCACCUGAUGGCAUGGCUUUUGUAUUAACGUGUGAAAUGUACAGAAAAGUAAUGCCAAACCUGAAAUCCUGAAGAUAUUCUACCCAAGAAGUUACCUACUAAAAUGCUUGGCAGUGAAGCUCCCAUUUACCUGAAUUAGGUCAACCAGAUCAGUCGUAUUAUCUUAGAAUGGUUUGGGGCAGAACCGAGUUUUGAAAAGCAAGAUUUUUCACAGGAAGGAAACUCUCGCUUCUAAUAGUCACUUCUAAUAAUGUACCCCACUUCUAAUGCAAUCACCAAGCACUGGAGAAGAAAAAGCUCACCAGCAUGUAUCUUCUGUCUGUCUUACCACCUGUGUCCACCAAAGCAGCAUUAGGUGGUAUUAAAAAGAUGGAAUAUAAGUUUUCAUAACACUUAAAGAUUUCCAGUGAUAAAUUUUCAUAGUGAUUGGGACAGAGUUGCUCAGGCACCAAAACAGAACCACAUCACCAGCCAGUGGCCAUCAGCAGGUUGCUGACUUCACUAGAAUUGGUUGUUUAUCUUUAGCUGAGAUACUGAAAUUUAUUCACUUUCUGUUUCUUGAUUUAAUGCAAGUUUAGUGCAGGAAUUCCAUCCAAACUGCAUAAACAAUUAUUUUCAUUUCUUGUGGUGGUGGGUUACUCUCAGGCAGCAGUCAGCAGCCCUCAAAACUGCUCACUCACUUCAUCCUUUUUCAACAGAACAGGAAGAGAAAAUAGGAUGGAAAAGCUUGCGGGUUGAGAUAAAGACAGGGAGAUUUCUUAUCAGUUACCAUCAUGGGCAAAACACAUUUGACUUGUGGAAAACUAAUUUUUUUAUUGCCAAUUGAGACAGACUUGGGUAGUGUGAAAAAAAAGACAAAUAUUAAAAUGGCACCUUCUCCCUCCUUCUUCUCUUGUUCACACUACUAUUUCUUUCUAUUAUUUCUUCCCUCCUUAGAUGCCUGUGAGGUAUUUUCUAAGCUUUCUUAGAUUUGUUAUCACCCUUUCUUAGAUAUGUACCACCACCUUGGCUGGGGGCUUCAGCCGUGCUCUCUGUGGCUUUGGUUGGAGCUGACUGGAGCUGGCUGUGUUCAGUCUGGGAGAGCCCUGGCCUUCUCUCACAAGGGCCACUUCUGCAGUUCCCCACUACCAAAAACUAGCCUCCUACACCCAAUGCACUUGUCCACAAAGUUUUUCUUUCCUUUUGCUGUUAGUUCUGUCAUACACAACUAGCUUACCAUGUGUUCAUUUAACUGACCAGUGUUCUAAGAGAAAAGUUAACCAUUUGCAUCUGUUCAGACUUUAAAGAAUACACAGUUUUCCAAGAUGUGCUACAGAGAUGGUUAGGGACCUAGACCAUAUGGCCUUUGAAGAGAUAUGAAGAGAGAUUAGUUUAUUUAGUCUUGUGAAGAGAAAAUCAAGGGGCAAUCUAACAUCUGCCCGUAUUUGAAAAGCAGUAGAAAACAUGAGCAUCAGUCUCUUCUCAGUACUCUGAGUUGUUUGGAUAUAAAUUUGUGGCCUGGACAUAAGAAAGCAAAUAAGCAGACAGCAAACAAGAAAAUGUUCUGUCUUUAUUUUGCAUACAGUACACUGCAUUUCCAAAAGGAGGAUUAUGAAAUCCCUUGCAAUUUUCUUACGAAAAAAAUAAUUGAACCUUUGAUGAACCCUAAAUCUAAGAUGAUCUUGUUUUUUGCCGGAGAAAGCUUCAGAUGUCUUGGCACUAUUCUAAAAUGUGUUGGGAAACAAAGGCAAAUACUCAGGUAGUUAUGCCAUGUAUUAUUUAGUAGAGAAAAUUAAAUCUGUUUGUGGGAAAUUAAGAUACAACUUAGAAAUUAAAAUCAGAUGAGGCAAUACAAUUGCCCAAACUCUAAAAAACGCUGCAAUAAAUGUAAAUAACUACUGGUAAAUUAGUUUAAGCAUUAUCAAUGCCAUUUUUUAUCUCGCAGCCAUCUGCUUUUUAAUAGCAUACUCAUCCUUUUCUAGAAUUUCAAGCCAGUAGUGAUCUGAAUUUUAUUAUUCAGUAUACUAUGUUUCUUUUUACCACAGGCACUGUGCAGCAUGAUGCAUCUCAAGCCUCCAGGCACUUCCACACCAUGUCUACAUAGACUGAGGACAUAGGUCACGAAGUAAGAAAAGUAAGCUGAAAGGAAGACCACUGUGCAAGUCCAAAGGGAGGGCAAGGUGAAUCUACAGUUCCGUCUAUUUAGGCAAUAAAAUAUAAGAUCCUAUGGAGACUGGCUUUAAAACUACAGCUGGCAAUAAAGACCAAGUAGGAAACAGGAAACAGUAUGAGCUAACGGGCACUGCAAGCAUAAAUCUUCACUGCUUCCUUUCUGGAUUGUGGAUAUCCCAAAAUGAAAACUACACAGUUACAGCAAGACAACCUCUAGGAGGCUGCAAAAGAAUGCUCAUGGGUUGACUGCACUGCUAUGAAAUAGACUCUGAAGGCUGACAGAAUAUUUCAGCUACUCUCCAUCUGAACCAUAUUUAAGCAAGUGUUGUGGAUAUCUUCCUGAAUUCUCUUUCCAGGCUACAGUGGAUACAUGGACAAUUGAAGUUAAAAAAACUAACAAACAAACAAAAAAAAACCACCACACAACAACAACAACAAAAAAGGCAACUUUUGCCUGUCUAAUGCACAUUUACACUUUGUUAGAUAUCUAAAAUAAACUGAACUUAUGCAGAUGUAGACUGUAUCUCUUUUGAACUGUACAGCCAUCCCAGUGACUGCAAUUCCUGUUGUGCAAUACCUGGAUAGCAAUUAAUUAGUGACACAGUUCUCAAUCUGUUCUUUUCCUGUGCUUCAUAUCAGUGACUUAGAGGUGUGACUUUGCAACAUUACUUCUUCUAAGACUGAUGAAAUUCUGGUGCUUUUGAUUGCUUGCCACAGCCACUUGCCCCAUUAAGAUUUUGCUGUAAGAAAUACGUUGUUACUUAAUCUUGCUUUGGAAAAGCUGGAGAACAACAGAAGAGCUCUGACAAUCUAAAAAAUACGAUUUAGACACAAAUAUCUUUGUUUGAUUUCAGUCCUUUUGUAUCUGAGUACCAACAUGAGAUUUUUCAACUGAUACAAACAGAAACCAAAUAAUAAUUUACUUCUGAAGCUUAUUGAGUAAGGUGAAUUUUGAUUGACAAAGCAGGAUAAAAACAAGUCAUACUAUGAAUGACCUUUAUUGUUUCAGUGAGUUGCUAUAUCUGUAAAUUUCAUAAUAGCUAAUCCCAUUUUAUAAAUACAUGUAUUUAACUAUUUAUAUUUUAUC